rnacentral:rRNA from 1 species
GACGAACGCUGGCGGCGUGCUUAACACAUUCAAGUCGAACGGAAAGUCCCUGCUUUUGUGGAGUGCUCGAGUGGCGAACGGGUGAGUAACACGUGAGUAACCUGCCCUUGACUUUGGGAUAACUUCAGGAAACUGGGGCUAAUACCGGAUAGGAGCUCCUGCUGCAUGGUGGGGGUUGGAAAGUUUCGGCGGUUGGGGAUGGACUCGCGGCUUAUCAGCUUGUUGGUGGGGUAGUGGCUUACCAAGGCUUUGACGGGUUGCCGGCCUGAGAGGGUGACCGGCCACAUUGGGACUGAGAUACGGCCCAGACUCCUACGGGAGGCAGCAGUGGGGAAUAUUGCACAAUGGGCGGAAGCCUGAUGCAGCAACGCCGCGUGCGGGAUGACGGCCUUCGGGUUGUAAACCGCUUUCGCCUGUGACGAAGCGUGAGUGACGGUAAUGGGUAAAGAAGCACCGGCUAACUACGUG